GCCCUCGUAGUGUAACGGUAGCACACUCGGCGCGUAUUCGAGAGGCCCGAGUUCGAGUCCCGGCAAGGGCA
rnacentral:tRNA from 1 species